UAUCCUUAUUAGUCUAAGAAAAAAAAACAAGAUUGAAACAGUAAGCAUAUGAACAACAAAGUAUAAGGAUCUGGAUGUCAAAAGACCGAACAUGAGUUAUGUUCUAUUCCUGAAUACAGAAACCUAUGGGAGAAUCAAAUACCUAAGAAACAGUACAAUUAUUCAAUCAAUCAAUAUGAGAAUUCAACGAUUAGAUCAUUGGGAGAAGAAACAAACAGAUCAAACCAAAGCCCUCUCUAAAAAUCACAUAAGACUGAAACAGUAAUCACGACGAUACCCCUACAAGGAUCUGGAGAAGUACCUCGGAUGGAGACGAUGAAUCAAAGCUCGGGAUGAAGAUUUAAGUUUUGAGAGAGAGAGACGUGCGUUUGUUUGUGUAAACUGUGAAGUCAAUAUAUAUAAGGAAGUCCUCGUAGAUACUGGAUCUCGUCUUCUUCAAGUGUAUUGAGAAUGAAAUUGAUGGCUAUCACGUCGAUUGGUAUGUAAGAAUAUGAUAUUGGAACCAGAGAUAUGAUAUUUGAAACUCUUGGUUUUUGCAUAAGUGAGAAAGUAAUGCGAGUGGAGAUUAACUCCAUAUACCCCGUACCCUCCUAAACUCAAGCUUAUUACCCCAACCCUAUUCAUCCCACCCCUUUAUCAUUGCACUCCCUAAACUCGUCUUUGUCCAUUUAUUCCUCAAUUAAAAACCAACCACAAUUCAACUACCUACAUGGCCCACAUCCUAACCUUAACCAAUCAAAAUUCUUUGGUCCACAUGUUCUUCUUCUUCCUCGUACUCUCUCCUCCUCU
rnacentral:lncRNA from 1 species